UGGUAGUUUCCAUAUAUUCUUUUGUCCUUCGAGUUACUUGGAUUAACUAGAAAAUUGUUUGAAAAUUUAAAACUUUUUUUUCUUUCUAAUGGUUGCAGGAAUCAAACCUGAUGGAGUUUCUUUCCUUGCUGUUUUAACUGGAUGCUAAUUGUUUGAAAAAUUAAAACUUUUUUUUCUUUCUAAUGGUUGCAGGGAUCAAACCUGAUGGAGUUUCUUUCCUUGCUGUUUUAACUGGAUGCUCUCACGCUGGACGGGUGGAUCAGGGCCUUCAAAUCUUUGAUAGCAUGCAACGCGAGUGCUCAAUUGAGCCCACUAUGAAACAUUAUGCUGUAGUAGUUGAUCUACUUGGCAGGGCUGGCCGAUUGGACGAGGCCUUUAAAUUUAUCGAAAGUAUGCCCUUAGAGCCAGAUUAUGUGAUUUGAUCUACUUGGCAGGGCUGGCCGAUUGGAUGAGGCCUUUAAAUUUAUCCAAAGUAUGCCCUUAGAGCCAGAUUAUGUGAUUUGGGGUGCACUUUUUUCUGCUUGCAGAGCUCACAAGAACAU
rnacentral:lncRNA from 1 species